rnacentral:rRNA from 1 species
AUGGGUCUCGAGGUGCUCACGGCGAGGGACCAGCCGCCGAGGUGCCGCUACCAGCGGCUCCGCGGCGAGCUCUGCAACGACGACGGCGACGGCGGCCAGGAGGCGUCGGCCGCCAGGUGGACGAGGGCGAGGCGGCCGAUGCGGCUGCGGAGGAGGCUGUCGGGGAAGAAGGCGGUGCCGGUGCUGUUCCGGAUGGCGCAGCGCAGGCGUGGGGUGAGGCUGCUGAUGCGGCUGGUGCUCCUGGCGCCGGCGCGGCGGGCGGCCGCGCUGCUGGCGGAGCUGGUGCGGCGGAUCGCGUGCGCCGCCGAGUGCCCCGCCAUCGUCUUCUCCUCGCAGUGGGGGCUCCCCGCGCUCUCCCACUCCGCCAGCGGCGGCGCCAGCCGCACCGCCAGGCUGCGGGCUUUCUACCUCGACAGGAGCCUCUCCGCCGGCUCGGGCGCCGGCUCCCCCUGCUGA